CUCGGGCCGCCGCGCCUAGGCCCGUGAGCAGCCUGUGGUGGGGCAUGGCGGCACAGCCACCGGCGUGCCCGCGAGGCCUCGGGACCCAGACCAGGAUUUCCAUCAGCUCCCCUGGCUCGCAGGCCUUCUGACUUCUGACUCACCAUCAGCUCUCCUGGAUCCAGCUUGCCAAUGGCAGAUCGUGGGACUCCUUGCCCUCUAAUCGCAUGAAACAAUGCCCACAGGGCAGGUCUCACUAUGUUGCCCAUUCUGGUCUUGAACUCUUGGACUCAAGCAAUCCUCCCACCUCGGACUUCCAAAGUGCUGGAAUCACAGGCUUGAGAUACCAUGCCCAGCCAAUUUAUUGUGAUGGUGAGCUCCUUAGAGGGAAGUAUAGUACAUAUUUCCUCCAUGUCUCCAGUACCCAACACAGUGCCUGACGUUGAGAGGGCUCUUAAUAAGUGUUUGUGAAAGACUGGUAGAGCAAUGCCCUAUGAAACAAGAAGCUGGAUAACACUGCUUAGGACUCAGAGGAGAGAGGAGUGUGGUCUACACUGCACAUCUCUGCCAAGCCUGGCACGGGAUUUGAAGUUCCACACCACUGAGCCAAACACAUCCAGACCCUCUUCCAACCCGGGGAUCUGGUGGUAAGCAAAAUACUAUUCCAGCAAGUGAUGCCCCCAGUCUCCUAAGGAUAUAAGAAACAGGAAGUUGUGUUUGGCUGCGGACAAACUCUCUCAGUGCCCCUGGGACUUACAAGAUGUUUGGAAUGAGGAACGGCAGCUCUCCCAAUGCGAGCUCAGCGGAGGCCCCCAGAAAAACGUGGGGAGGAGAGUUUUCCCCAUAAGACAGACUGUCCUUCAGCCCCGGCCACCAAAGAGGAGUAACCCGGGCCUGCUGUUCUCUGGGACUGAAUGCGGCUGCAUCCUUCCCUUCCUCUGCUUCCUGUCCCGAUCUGGUUUCUGAGUCCCUGGGCUGCAGCUGUUGAAUUUCCAGACACAAACAAGUAUGCGUUCUGAGAGCCUCGCCGAGCCCACACAACCGGGAGAGCCAAGCUGGAUUCCAUUCUGCUUUGCACAUCAGCAGCUCUGCUGCCAGCUGAACUCCAGGGCAAAAGCUGUGCCUGGUAAUGAUGCAGGCAGCAGGGAUGGCACAGCUGGCCUGGCUUAGGCCGUUAAGGGGGACACGCUUGGCCUUAUUUGGGGGAGAGCGAGAAAUGGAAGGCGAUGAAGAGUUGCGGAAGCAUACAUCAGCCUCCACAAAACUGGUGCACAGCAGGGAAACAAUCUGGUUUUGCUAGUCAUCAACAACAUGCCUGUGUGUGUGCCUGUUUAUGCUUAGGUAAGCCCAGCCUCCCACUCGCUGAAAAGAGUAGGCAGACAAGAAGGAGUGACCAACUCUGAGUCAGCUGUCAUCGUGUAGAGAGCAGCUAAGGGGAACAGUGGGGCUGGAAUCUCAUGGCCUUGCCUAGUGCCCCUACAGCAUCCUCUCUGCCCAUGGUGCCAGAUAUCUGAAUGGGAGGACAAAGGGGGCACAGGUGGUGAAAAAAACCAAGAUGCACAUUUGGGUAUUUUCCUUCUUUUGCUAGAAUGUCAUUUCUUGAUGUCUGUUUCUUGUCACCCAUUUGUGAUCAGGGACUAAGUAAGUUCCCUCUGCACCAGACCAGGUGGAAGACUGAGCCAGAGUUCCUCUGAGCCACAGGAGAGAUGAGGAGCUAUGGAGCGGAGUAGGGGCUGAGGAUCUGGUGCCCCCAGCUAAACUAAAAGGAGGCAGGCAGCAUGUAAGAGGAUGAUGGGGUAGCUCACAGAGAGGAAGGGGAUAUUCUUUCUCAAGAAUGAUGAGCCCAAAGGCAUCGCAUAACAAUUGUGAUCUCCCAGCUGGACGUUUCCUGUAGCACAGGUGUUCACAGUGUGGCUCCCAAACCAGCAGCCUCCAUGUCAGUCACUGGGAACUUGUUAGAAAUGCAGAUUCUCAGGCCACCCCAACCAUUAGAUCAGAAACUCUGGGGAUGGGGCCCCACAAUCUGUGUUUUCUUUUCUUUCUUUCUUUCUUUUUUUUUUUUUUUGAGACAGGGUCUCACUGUGUCAUCCAGGCUGGAGUGCAGUGGCAUGAAAAUGGCUCACUGCAGCCUCAACCUCCUGGGCUCAAGUGACCCUCCCACCUCAGCCUCCUGAGUAGCUGGGACUACAGGCCUGUACCACCAUGACCGACUGAUUUCGUUUUUUAAUUUUUUAUAGAAACAGGGUCUCGCCAUAUUGUCAUGGCUGGUCUUGAACUCCUGGG
rnacentral:lncRNA from 1 species